rnacentral:rRNA from 1 species
UACGGAGGGUGCGAGCGUUGUCCGGAAUCACUGGGCGUAAAGGGCGCGUAGGCGGCGCGGUAAGUAGGGGGUGAAAUCCUGCGGCUCAACCGCAGAAUUGCCUUCUAGACUGCCGUGCUUGAGCACAGUAGAGGCAGACGGAAUUCCCGGUGUAGCGGUGGAAUGCGUAGAGAUCGGGAAGAACACCGGUGGCGAAGGCG